rnacentral:rRNA from 1 species
GACGAACGCUGGCGGCGUGCUUAACACAUGCAAGUCGAACGGAAAGGCCCUGCUCUUGUGGGUUGCUCGAGUGGCGAACGGGUGAGUAACACGUGAGUAACCUGCCCUUGUCUUUGGGAUAACUUCAGGAAACUGGGGCUAAUACCGGGUAUGAGCUCCUGCUGCAUGGUGGGCGUUGGAAAGUUUCGGCUGUUCGGGCUGGACUCGCGGCUUAUCAGCUUGUUGGUGUGGUAGUUGCUUACCAAGGGUUAGACGGGUAGCCGGCCUGAGAGGGUGAACGGCCACAUUGGGACUGAGAUACGGCCCAGACUCGUACGGGAGGCAGCAGUGGGGAAUAUUGCACAAUGGGCGGAAGCCUGAGGCAGCAACGCCGCGUGCGGGAUGAUGGCCUUCGGGUUGUAAACCGAUGUCGCCUGUGACGAAGAGUGAGUGACGGUAAUGGGUAAAGAAGCAACGGCUAACUACGUG